rnacentral:rRNA from 1 species
CUACGGGUGGCUCCAGUGGGGAAUAUUGCACAAUGGGCGCAAGCCUGAUGCAGCAACGCCGCGUGAGUGAUGAAGGCCUUCGGGUCGUAAAGCUCUGUCCUAUGGGAAGAAACAAAUGACGGUACCAUAGGAGGAAGCCCCGGCUAACUACGUGCCAGCAGCCGCGGUAAUACGUAGGGGGCAAGCGUUAUCCGGAAUCACUGGGCGUAAAGGGUGCGUAGGCGGUCUAUCAAGUCAGAAGUGCAAGGCAGUGGCUUAACCAUUGUAAGCUUUUGAAACUGAUGGACUUGAGUGCAGGAGAGGUAAGUGGAAUUCCUAGUGUAGCGGUGAAAUGCGUAGAUAUUAGGAGGAACACCAGUGGCGAAGGCGACUUACUGGACUGUAACUGACGCUGAGGCACGAAAGCGUGGGGAGCGAACAGGAUUAGAUACCCCGGUAGUC